CCCUGGCUCUGGCUGGAAUAGAAGCACACAGAGAGGCAGCUUGUGAGGCUCCUGGGCUAGAGAGGACCAGACUCCAACAAGAGACUGAAGACCAGCUCACUGAAGCUCAUCGUGGAGAAGCAAGUUCACUGGACUUACUUACAGAGAGUGGGUGAGGCCUUACUGACCUGAGUGUGGGUAGCCCCAGAGCAGUCACACUGGAAAGUCUCUACCUGCUAGGGAGCCAACAUCUCUAUAGCCACGUAGAUAAAGAGCCCCUCAGUUAAUCUUCCACUUAGCAUUUCCCUAAACUCCUAGGCCACAUGCAACCAGGGCAGGAUUGCAUAUAAGUGCCUGAAAGGUGCGGGUGGGAGGACGGUUAAACUAUCAGGUGAGGAUCUAUGGACUCUCCCCAUCUCCUUCUAUAUAGGAAAGCUCACAGCAGCAGGAUGCUAUUUAAAGAUGUCCAGAUGGAAAACAAUGUAUGCACACGGGCAUCUGGUUAUACUAUACAUAGAUCAUGCAUUCCCAGGACAGAUUCAACUGUUUAAAGACUGCGGCUGCAGACACAGCAUAGUUGGUAAAGUGCUUGCCGAGGAAGCAGGAGGACUUCAGUUUGAUUCCCAGCACCCAAGGAAAAGUUAGAUGUGGCAGUGACUGUCUGUAAUCCCAGUGCUGGGGAGGCAGAGAUGGCAAGAACUGUGGGGCUUGCUGGACAGGCAGUCGGGCCAACUCUGUGAGCUCUAGGCUCAAUCAGAGACCUGUCUUAAAAAAAAUAGUGAAGAGAAAAACGAAGGAAGAAGCUUAAUGCUGUCCUCUGUCUUACAAAUACACACACACACACAUAUACCCACACACAUAUACCCACACACAUGUGUAUAUGUACUCACUCACACGCAUGCACACACACAUGAACACAUAUGUGCACAUACACAAACAUUUGUAUAUAAAUUUAUUUUACUCUUAGUGUAAUUUGACCAUAAGAACAACUUGGUAUUGUAUCCUAAGCAGUAAUAACCCAGAGCCUUCAAAAAUUUCUUAUAAAUACUGAUUUUAAUGACUGUUCAGAAGUCAGUCACUGACCUGAGUGUGGGUAGCCCCAGAGCAGUCACACUGGAAAGUCUCUACCCUUUCUUAAUAGUGCAUUAUUUCUAUUUAGAAUGUUUCUCGUUUUUCCAUUAACUCUCAAAAAGCAAUUUUAUGAGUUUGCAGAUUUUUUUGUGAAUAUUUUUAAUGAUGCCCUUAACAUGAAUUAAUUGGUUCAAGAUACGAAAUGUAACUUCCUUAUAGUUUAUGGAGGUUAAUUUACAUGACGUAAAAUCCACUCUUUGUAAGCGUAGAGGUCAGUGAUUCUUAAAACAAGUCCAUGGUCUGGAGAGAUGGCUUGGUGGUUGAGAGCAAGCACUGUUCUUGCCAAUGACUGGAAUUUGGUUCCCAGCACCCACCUCAGGUGGCUCACAACUGCCUGCAACUCCAGCUCCAGGGCGUCUACUGCCCUCUUCUGUCCUUCACGAACACUGCAGGCACACACACAAUUUAAAACAACAGCAGCAAUAACAACAUCCUAAGUUAUGCAGCCAUUUCCAUAAUCUAGUUUUAGAAUACUUUUAUCAACCACUCACUCUUUAAGCCCAGGUAACCAUAAAUCUACUUUCAGUCACUAGAAGAUUGUGUGUGUAUGUGUGUGUAUGUGUGUGUGUGUGUGUGUGUGUGUGUGUGUGUAUCCAGUUGGUACUCAUCUCUCUGCUGAUUUAGCAAUCAAUAUUUGAAUAUACAAAGACAACCUUCACACAGUGUACCCCAACAGAUUUGAAAGAAAAUGCCCCCCACCUCAUAGGAAGUAGUACUAAUAAGAGGUGUGGCCUUGCCAGCAUAUUUAUGGCUUUGUUGGAGGAAGUUUAUCACUAAGGAGUUGAGAUUUCAGAUGCUCAAACUAAGCCCAGCGAGGCAUUCAUUUUCUGUUGCUUGAGGCUGCAGAUGUAGAACUCUCAGCUACCUCUCUCGGCUCCCAUCUGCACGCUGCCAUGGUUCCUGCCAUGAUGAUAAGAAACUAAACCUCUGGAACUAUAAGCCAGCCCCAAUUAAAUGUUUUCCUUGAUAAGAGUUGCUGUGGUCAUUGUGUCUCUUCACAGCAGUAAAAACCAUAACUAAGACCUCUCCUACACAGUGUUGAACAUAAAUGUGGUCCAGAGGCUGAAGAGAGGAAUCGAUAGUUUAAGUACUUGCUAAUACAAGCUUGAGGACUGGGGUUCAAAUCCCCAGACUUCACAUAAAUCCCAUGUGAAUUUGGCAUUAAGUGCCAAAUGGGUGUGGCAGCCUGCCCAUAACUCCAGCCUUGGAUGUAUGGACAGGGAAUCCCCAGGGCAAGCUGGCCAGCUGGACUAACCAUAGUGGGCAGCUCUGGGUUGACUGAGCCUUUGUCUCAUUAAAUAAGAUGGAAGAACGAUCAAGGAGAUUCCUAAUAUUCAUAGGCACACACAUGCACACUCCCCCCACACACAUGUGCCCAAAUGCACUCAAGCAUAUACACACAAUUCAUAAGCAAACAUACAUCAGAUCACAUAUUAAAAUGGAUAAAGAAAGAAAAACAAAUGUAGCUCAGUUCCUUGGCUCCGGCAUGGAGUGACCACCCUGAGCCCUGCUCAGAGUUCUGAUGGCAGCAGUGGAGGCAGGGGUGGGGGUGGGGGUGCCUGUGCUAGCAGAGCCUGGGGAGUAGACAAGCAAUGAGGGCCUUCUCUCCAGAGAGGCUGACAUUGUGUGCAAACCUGGAAACCACUUGGUUCUUGGCUCCAGAAUGGGUCUGACAUCAAUCUCUCAAUCUCCAGGCCACUUUUAGAUGCAAGGCUGCUGGUGUGGGGACUUUAUGAGAACAGGACUGGCUGGCUGUGAAAUCGCUGGCAUUUCAUGGAGUGAGGGAAUAUUUUACAAGCGCUGUGCUGAGCUGGGCUCUGAACCCAGGCCAGGCAGUUACGUAACUAGCCUGGGAGAUAUAGCACAUGUGGGAUGGGGACACAGGUGGAAAGAAGGGGUAGUCCCUAGGUCACUGUGAUUGAGGCGCUCUGGUCCCCUCAAACACCACAGGGGGUGGCAACCAUAUGCUCCUUAAGUUUCCUGAAAGUGGUUAAUGACUUACCGCAUUUUUCAUGAGUGUGUGUGCACACAUGUGUGGAUGUCUCUCUUUCUCUGUGUGUUCAUGUAUGUGCCAUGCACAUACAUGUCUGUCUGUCUGUCUGUCCCCUCCAUUCAUCAUCACCAGAAUGCAAGCUUCCUGACAGUGGUAUCUGGACCUGCGUGCGUUUUUUUUCAUCCACAAAUAGCAGAGGGUGACCUAUAUAUAAGGUGCUGCGCUCCUGCUUCUGGAAAUAUCCAAACAUCCAUUCACUUAACAAAUUGUGACAAUUUGACCUCUGCACCUACCCAGGUCUCCUAAGUUCAUGGGCAGCCUUAGUGCCCUGAUGUUCAGGUUUAUACAUCGACUCAGUGAGUGAGCAAGAUUGCACACAUCUGAAAUCGGUCUCUGCCCUGGGGUCAGCUGCUAUGACCUCCAGGUGGCCAUCCUAUAGUGCCUCCACUGUGGGGCCUUUCUGUGUAUAAGCCCAUCCCUCCUGUCCCUGGAAUCCCCCAAGGAUCUGGAAGCAGUGCCUUGUGCUGCUCAGGACAAGUGUCCCAUGUGUUUGAGCUGUCUCUUGUGUGUCAUCGCCAUCCUACUCACUGUCCUUAGAAGGGUGCUAGUGAGUCACUGUCCCCUACUAAGUGAGUGACGUCUUAGAGCCCUCAGUGAGUCUUGGCAGUUUGUAGAUUUUGAUACAUCAAAAUUUUAGGUCACUUUUCCCAUUUAGACUUUUUAACUAGAGAGUCAGUUAAUUAACAAAGGAGAAACACUCAUCCACCCUCUAUCUAUCUAUCUAUCUAUCUAUCUAUCUAUCUAUCUAUCUAUCUAUCUAUCUAUCUAUCUAUCUAUUUCUGAGAGAGGCUUUUCUUUUGCAUAUCAUUUUGGUCUGGGACUUAAUACAUAGCCCUGGCUGGCCUAAGACUUACCAAUCAAUCCUCUUAAAAAUAAUCAUGACGUGGUGAUGGAGAGCUAGGUGGCCAGAGGGAUAUUUGGGGCACUACUAUAUAUAUAACAUUUUAUAUAUAUAUAUAUUUACAUAUAUAAUGCUAUAUAUGUAAUAUAUAAUGUUAUAUAUGUAAUAUUAUAUAUAAUGUGAUAUAUAGUAUGUAUAUAUAUGUGUGUAUAUGUAUAUAUGUAUGUAUGUAUAUAUUUACAUCAUUCCUGAGACCUUAUAUAUUUAUAUUCCUGAAGCCCUGUCCUAAGGGUAAGAGAAGGGCACACUGUAGAUGUGACAAGCAGUUUCUUGGAGAUUAUUCUAGUACUUUCUAUCACUGCCCACCAGCAGGAGCCAGGACUCUGGCUAUGGUCAUCAACUCUGCUCAUGUGAUCCUCACAGAGACAAAGACAAAUUUUAAUUUGGAGCCAUUUAUUCCUACUGUAGAGAGAGUUCCAGAUAGGCCUGGUUAGCACACACCUAUAAUCCAAUUACUUAGAGACUGAGGCAAGAGGGUUUCACAUUCGAGGGCAACCUGAGGUCCAGGUAUCCUACUCUCAAUAAUCAGAUACUUUCUGGGCACACUUGGGGACUCCAAAGUACAGGGUUCUCAAUCCUCCCCAAGGUGUGAGUCCCAGUUUGGGUACCUACCUCUCAGUGCCUCGAUUUACCCACUUUGCCCAGCGUGGUUGCACAAGGACUAACCUGGUAGGCUCAUGGCAGCCACUGUUGAAUAAACAAUGAGAGGUCCAGGCUGUCCCGUGGCCCCUGGUGCUGGUCCAGAAGGUAUGUGUCAUGGAGCCUGUGAAAUCUGAGGACAAAAGGCCCGGUGAAUACAGAGCACCUUGUCCCCUGCCAUUCUGAAGUGCACACCCUGUACCUUGGCUUGCCAGCUUCUUGAGAUGUUGCGCUUACUCUCAGCCAAGGUCAGUGGUUUCACUCUGUAACAUUUAUAACUGUGACCGUGGCAAUGAGGACCAUAGCACCUCUGAGCUCUGCUCUAUUUCAGUCAGAGCCGAGUCAGGAGGGGCAUCUGACUGUUGUGGCUUAUGCAGCCCAAAGGUUGGGCUCUCAGCAGGUGUCUGGGUACAUGGCAACUUGGGAUCUUACCCCAGCUCUGCUGCAAACGCCCAAAGGCUCUGCGCUCUUCGGACUAACUUUCCUACCACCACUAAAACUUAACUCCUUAUUUAUAAACUGGGGGUUAACACCUGGCACUACAUGGGGCUAUUGUUUUAAAUGAACUAUCUCUGAAGGGUCCUGCUCCAUGCCUGGCACAAAACAAGGUUGUUGCAAGUGAGAGUGUCCUGCCUCCUCUAGGGGCUCUGGCAUGGCAGGGGUAUGAGGUGCUCUAGGUAGGACUUGCUUUCUAUCCAAUCCCUGUAUACAUCCUCAUCUGUGCCUAGAGCAUUGGGUUCAAGCCAGCAUCUCCUUCAAUGCUCUGUACACUAGGACCAGGGACCAGGCUCUGUUAUCUGACGGCAAUCACAGGAAGCCUAUUUUUCUAACUAGGCAGGGCUUCUGAAAACUUCCCAUUCUAAACUUCGUGUUUCUACGAAACUUUUACAUGACCCCAGGUGUGUAGUGCUAUAAGAUAGAGGGCCCAAACAUUUACUGAUAACAAAUCAUGAUGAAAGUUAUUUAAAAGCAAUCUUUUGGGAGCUGGGAUAUGGCCCAGUUGGUGGACUGCUUUGCCAGCCAGCAUGCACAUAGCUCUGGGGUUGAACUCAGAGCCACAUAAACUGUGCAUAGUGGCACACAGGACGUGAAUGCCUAAGAAUCAAAUGUUUAAGUUCAUUCUUGGUUGUAUAGCAAGUUCGUGGCCAGCCUGUACUACAUGAAAGACUCUAUUUCAAAAUCUAAAACAAAACAAAAAGCCCAAAUCCAAUAUUUCCUUUGUAUGCAUAUAAUUUUAACCUUAAAAAGAAAGAAAACUUGCAUACUAAUGAGGCGGAUGUACUUAUUUGUUUUUCCAUAAGGAUAUCAAUACUGAGUAUUGGAUGCUGCAGAAUCUAAGCAUCUUUAACAUGUUUUAGAGUUAAUCAGAAUUUGGAGUUGACUUUCUAAUCAAUGCUGAGAAUACUGCUUCACAUAAAUGUAUAGUGACAAACGACACAAGGAAAUUUAGACACAUUUCAGAAACUGUUGGAAAUUCUGCCCUAAUCUCAAACUAACAUUCAUGAAUCACGUUUUAUUAAUUAAUUGAUUUUAAUGAAUCUCAAGCCAGCAACCCAACCUGAAAUUUUAAAGGUUUAUUGUUAUUAUUAUAAAUUAUUUGUGUUGUGUCUGUGUGUGGGCAUGUGGGUAAUGUCCACAGAGACUAGAGGCAUCAGAUACCCUAAAUCUGGAGUUACGCAUGGUUGUGAGUUGCUAUGACAGUGCUGGGAAUGAAACUCAGAUCCUCUGGAAAAACAAGUUCAAGGGGCAACUUUUAAAAUCAAAUAUUAAUAUGAGGACCAAAGAUACACUAAUUUGAGAUUCACAUGCUUAGGCAUGAUGGUAGGAAAAGAUUUAAAGUCUUUGUUUUCCAUAAUGAAGCCAACACAUUUCUACAAGAGUGGAAACGUGUACAUUAAAAGUCCUGCAGUCUAUAACAUGCAGUCUUAGCAGAAGUGAGCCAAAGUCCGUCAGGUAGUAUCUGCUGACAGACACUGUGUGGUCUGACAGCAGGAGCACAGCAAACACGCGUCUCUGCAUGUCCAGAACCAAGGCUACAGCAAAAUCUGCCAGAAACAUGGAGUUUAUUUAUGAUUCUGAAUCAACAUUGGAUCACAAUGCACACAGAAACCUUAUACUACUGUCAGACUUUUGUGACCCACACAUGUUGCAAUUCACAAUUUAAGAAGGUGAGAUCUAGAUUAAUGAUGUUCAGUCAUGUAGUUGUAGGGACCAGUUUGGAAAAUUAACUACAGGCUUCUAAGACCACAGGAUCUUUCUGCAUAACUGGGUCCACUUCCCUCUCCCUCAGUCUCUCUCCUCUUUCUCUUCUUCCUUUCUCGCUGUACUGAGAUCAAACCCAGGGCCUUACACAUGCAAGGCAAGCACUAUACCCCUCAGUCACCCGCCUGCAGUUCCAGCCAGCUCUUGGGAGACAGAAGGAUUGGAUCCCUUUAUUGGAUUUAGAACCACCUAAGAGGUGAGUCCUUGAGGAAGUUUCCAGAAUGGUUUAACUAAAGAGAGGAGACCCAUC
rnacentral:lncRNA from 1 species